rnacentral:rRNA from 1 species
GACGAACGCUGGCGGCGUGCUUAACACAUGCAAGUCGAGCGGAGCGGCGAACGGGUGAGUAACUCGUUAGUAACUGCCCCCCUCUCUGGGAUAACAGUUGGCAACGGCUGCUAAUACCGGAUAUUGGGGGAUGCCUCGCGUCCUAUGAGCUUGUUGGUGGGGUAGUGGCCUAACAAGGCGACGCCGGGUAACCGGCCUGGGAGGGCGACCGGCCACAUUGGGCUGAGAGACGGCCCAAACGCGUACGGGAGGCAGCAGUGGGGAAUAUUGUGCAAUGGGGGAAACCCUGAUGCAGAAACGCCGCGUGCGGGAUGACGGCCUUCGGGGUGUAAACCGCUUUCAGCUAUGACGCGGUAGUGGCAGAAGAAGCACCGGCUAACUACGUGCCAGCAGCCGCGGUAAUAC